rnacentral:rRNA from 1 species
UGCCAGCAGCCGCGGUAAUACGUAGGGGGCGAGCGUUGUCCGGAUUUAUUGGGCGUAAAGCGUGUGUAGGCUGCGCGGAAAGUCAAAUGUGAAAGCCAAGGGCUCAACCCUUGAACUGCAUUCGAUACUCCCGUGCUAGAGUAAUGGAGAGGUAAGUGGAAUUCUCGGUGUAGCAGUGAAAUGCGUAGAUAUCGAGAGGAACAUCAAUGGCGUAGGCAACUUACUGGACAUUUACUGACGCUCAGACACGAAGGCUAGGGGAGCGAAAGGGAUUAGAUA